rnacentral:rRNA from 1 species
CCUACGGGGGGCAGCAGUGGGGAAUAUUGCACAAUGGGGGAAACCCUGAUGCAGCGACGCCGCGUGAGUGAAGAAGUAAUUCGUUACGUAAAGCUCUAUCAGCAGUGAAGAAAAUGACGGUACCUGCGUAAGAAGCCACGGCUAACUACUUGCCAGCAGCCGCCGUAAUACGUAGGGGGCACGCGUUAUCCGGAUGUACUGGUGGUAAAGGGAGCGUAGAUGGUUGGGCAAGUCUGGAGUGAAAUGCCUCAGCUGAACUGCGGAACUGCUUUGGAAACUGGCGAACGAGAGUGUGGGAGGGGUAAGUGGAAUGCCUAGUGUAGCGGUGAAAUGCGGAGAUAUUAGGAGGAACACCGGUGGCGAAGGCGGCUUACUGGACCGUAACUGACGUGGAGGCUCGAAAGCGUGGGGAGCAAACAGGAUUAGAUACCCCGGUAGUC